GAAAGAAAUACUGGAAGAGAGCAAUCGUGGUGAUAGGAUACCCCGCCAGGUUCAAUACGUCGCUACACAGGCAACCUUUUGUACAAAAAAUAAAAGCGGUGCUCUUAUAGGCGUAGAUGGGAAAGGUAAUAAUUUGUGGAAUACUAUCUUCUCAAUAAGGAGCAUUCUGGGUGGCCUUUACAGCACAAGACGCCUUCAUCCUAGAGAUAAAGACAAUAUGGAACUUACUUUCAAGCAAUGCAGCAAGAACAAUCAACGAGAAAAUCAAGCUUAACCACAAGCAUCAUAACAUGGAAGAGAAAAAAUGGGAAAUGCCAAAGCACAAGGCAACAUUUGCCACUCUUUUCAUAAAUAAUAUUACACUAGGUAUCAAAAUAAAGACCAGCAAUCAUUUGUUGC